GGCUGUGGCUCAGUGGCAGAGGAUCUGCUUGGCAUUCAGAAGAACCCAGGUUCAAUCCCUGGAAUAUCCA
rnacentral:tRNA from 1 species